CCCAGACCUCCGGAGACACAGCUUCUAGAAGAAGGUAGGAUCGAAGGUACGCCCUGUCAAAGGACAGUUUGGCAGAUUUGAAGAAGAAACCUCACCAACAUAAUGUUAGGAAGAUCAAGCCUGGAAGACGAGUCACACAACACCUACAGCCUAUUUGGAGGUCCAGAGAUGAAUGAAGAAGACACAGCCCCAGAGCCGAUGCAGCAAGAUCCCUGGUUUCGGGCAAGGAAGUUCUCAGAGGAAGACACCACCUCGGUGACCCAGGUCGAGCCACGGACCAAGAAGCUCCCACGUUCCAGCCACUUAGUGUAUGACGCUGAUGUCCAAAUGUCUGACUGGACCCCCGAAGAGACAGACAACUGGAUGAGAUUGACUCUUGCUUCGUCGGUAGCGUGGUCAAUGUGGACCUACAGAUUUUCUCCACAAGAGGAGGAGCAGCACAUUGCUGGCAUAGCGGCCGCAGCUGCCCCUCACAGACCUCCGGAGACAUAGCUUCUAGAAGAAGGUAGGAUCGAAGGUACGCCCUGUCAAAGGACAGUUUGGCAGAUUUGAAGAAGAAACCUCACCAACAUAAUGUUAGGAAGAUCAAGCCUGGAAGACGAAUCACCCAACACCUACAGCCUAUUUGGAGGUCCAGAGAUGAAUGAAGAAGACACAGCCCCAGAGCCGAUGCAGCAAGAUCCCUGGUUUCGGGCAAGGAAGUUCUCAGAGGAAGACACCACCUCGGUGACCCAGGUCGAGCCACGGACCAAGAAGCUCCCACGUUCCAGCCACUUAGUGUAUGACGCUGAUGUCCAAAUGUCUGACUGGACCCCCGAAGAGACAGACAACUGGAUGAGAUUGACUCUUGCUUCGUCGGUAGCGUGGUCAAUGUGGACCUACAGAUUUUCUCCACAAGAGGAGGAGCAGCACAUUGCUGGCAUAGCGGCCCCAGCUGCCCCAGCUGCCCCAGCUGCCCCAUGUCAUCGUGUCAUGGAACCAGAAAAACCCAAACCCAUGGUGGUCUUCACUCUGCCAGGAGAUUUUUUCAACUUUAUGGAGGAAGAGGAAGAGGAAGAGGAAGAGGAACCACACAACUCAUUGAAUCAUGCAGAAUAGUCUCCAAUGAGAGGCCGUAUAAAAAGAUGGGAUCCUGGCUUUCCAAGACCUGAUCUCAGCCCUGAACUCCUGCCUCUUUUUCCUUCCCUGGCCUAAGUCUCAGGGCCCCAGCCCAGCCCUGGAGCACCUUCACUCCUCCAGUUUUCUGGGUUCUACCCGGGCGCCUUCUCUUUUAAGGCUCAGUGGUUCAUCUGAGCUCCCCAGAAAAACCCCAAACAGUGUCCCUUGGCCAGGGUCCAUGCUCUACUACCUUAAGGGUUUUCGGUCAUAAACACCUUAGCCUUCAUCCCCAGGCUUCAAACGGACCCUUGCAUCCACCUCCACUGACACACCUGAAAGAUACCCUCCUAGAGUGUAGGUGUAGUGUGCCACACUAUCAGAAAAGGCCACUUGUACCAACUUCUGUACUGGCCCCAUCCAUAGGCUCUGACACCCCUGGGCGUUCAGACCAGCCUGCCCCCGGAAACCUCAUUAGGGUGGGGGUAUGUGCCUCUGAGCCCUCCAGCAUACAAUCCACAACCUGUAUCAGCCAGAGUCGGACCUCCAGAAGACAAAGAGCAAGGAGGGCAGCUUGAGAGACUUUCCCAGGACUGUGGACUCUGAUGGAUUCUCCCUUGCUUCCCAGAUUGGCAGGACUUGGCUCCUGGGUGCAGGCUCCCAAUCCUGAAGUUUUCUUCACUCAGUUCAUCAUGCUGUUCCAAGGUGACGACUGGACUCUCUAGUGUCUUCUCUAAGAAAGGACCCCAUCACCCCACCUCCAUCCUCAUCCCCUAAUCCUGCCCUUCCCUCC
rnacentral:lncRNA from 1 species